GAUGAACGCUAGCGACAGGCUUAACACAUGCAAGUCGAACGAUGAAGCCCAGCUUGCUGGGUGGAUUAGUGGCGAACGGGUGAGUAACACGUGAGUAACCUGCCCUUCACUCUGGGAUAACUCCGGGAAACCGGGGCUAAUACUGGAUAUGACUCCUCCUCGCAUGGGGUGGGAGUGGAAAGCUUUUGUGGUGGAGGAUGGACUCGCGGCCUAUCAGCUUGUUGGUGAGGUAGUGGCUCACCAAGGCGACGACGGGUAGCCGGCCUGAGAGGGCGACCGGCCACACUGGGACUGAGACACGGCCCAGACUCCUACGGGAGGCAGCAGUGGGGAAUAUUGCACAAUGGGCGAAAGCCUGAUGCAGCGACGCCGCGUGAGGGAUGAAGGCCUUCGGGUUGUAAACCUCUUUCAGCUCUGAAGAAGCGAAAGUGACGGUAGGAGCAGAAGAAGCACCGGCUAACUACGUGCCAGCCGCCGCCGUAA
rnacentral:rRNA from 1 species